GCGCACUAUGGUUCAGUGGUAGAACCGCCCGAUGCUUCAGUUCUUCUCAUCGUGUCGGGUGGUCGGAGGUUCAAUUCCUCCUGGUGGCA